UAUUUUUACAAAAUUUCUGGAUUUAAAAUUAUAUGUUUGUUGAACCACAUUUAAGUCAGCAUAAUGCAAAAACUCCUUUUAAUAUUUUUGGGGAGUGUUAUUGGAUUUCUAAUAAGCAAAAAUUGUCGGUAGUUUAGCACCAGGAAUAAAGGAGUUAUCAAUGAUGAACAAGAUGAAAGGAGCAGUUCCUUACAUUGUUUUCGGAGCAGUUAUUGGCUUUUAUAUUAACAAGCAUUGUCGUUAGUUUGGUAACAAGAGUGAAAUGGGUGGCAAUGCUAAGCAAACAAGAUUACCAUUAACAUGAUGUAAUGGCUUCGUAAAAUUGUACUGCUCCACUACAAGGUAUUUGACAAGUAAACAGGCCUACUAUCUUGAUGACAAUGAUCCUGCAUGAGUCUUGCAGAAUCAUUUGUUGAUCUAGGUCAAAACAAAAAGUCGGAAUCUCAAACAUGAAAAACAUUUGCUGCACGGAUAAUGUGGUUCACAUUCAGGGUCAAAAUUUUACAAAUUUAAAUGAAAUAAAUAUUAAAUAAAUAAAUAAAUAAUA